GGUAAGUCCGCAACGAGCGCAACCCUCGACCUUAGUUGCCAGCAUUCAGUUGGGCACUCUAAGGUGACUGCCGGCAAAAGUCGGAGGAAGGUGGGGAUGACGUCAAAUCAUCAUGCCCCUUAUGACCUGGGCACACACGUGCUACAAUGGGCGGUACAAAGGGUCGCGAACCCGCGAGGGGAGCCAAUCCCAAAAAGCCGCUCUCAGUUCGGAUUGCAGGCUGCAACUCGCCUGCAUGAAGCCGGAAUCGCUAGUAAUCGCGGAUCCAGCAUGCCGUGGUGAAUACGUUCCCGGGCCUU
rnacentral:rRNA from 1 species